GGUUAAAAAUUUCUCCCGGCAUUUUGGUACCCACUUCUUUGUUUGGGAGGCAGAGGGCUGGGAUUCAGUCCGCAGGGCCCCUUAAAGAGCAGACUAGGGACGCCUUUGGUUUCAGCAGCUGAGUUAUUGAUUGUAGGGAGCAGCAAUCCCUCCGGCUGGUUUGUGUUGAAAGCGGACCCGUUGGCUAGGCGGACUGGAGAGGCGCAACAGCCGCAACGCCACCCAAUUACUGCUGGUCCUCCCCUCCGACAUGGCUUUGCCCUCCUAUCUGCUCUUUCUCCGCGGGUCGUUACUUCCUCCCACCCACUUUUCUCGUGGCCGCUGGAGCUGAGGGGGUGGGGACUCACUGCCCCGCGAGUUUCUGGAGCUGCCAGGCUGCUAGUGUGUGUGUGGGGGGCGAGUGUGCCACGUGAGUGCUCCCCGGGCUGGGCGUAGGAGGCCAGGCCCUCCGACGGACCUGCAGGGCCUGGGCGCGGAGGGGGUUGGGCGUGCUGAGUCCGGGACAGGAAGGGGUGUGCCGGCCUGCAUUUGGCUGGAGAGGAGAUGUCUCGGCUUGGGGGAAAGAGACGGGGGCUUGCUGAUAAAGAUGGAGCGUGAUGGGCUCCGGGGAAUGGAGGAGGGCGCAAAGGCAGUGGGGGUGCGGUGGCGGCGCUGGUGGAGUUUCUCUGCUGCUCGGGUUGUUAGGAUCCCGAGAAUAUUUCUUCUGAGGAGCUGGAGAUGAGCUCUGUGAGGUUCCAUAAUCACCGGUGGGGGGUGGGGUGGGGUCAGUAAAAGCAGCCCAUCACCCACAAACGGCGCACAAAAUGCUCGCAGAAGAUGGGCGUUUCUGGUUACUUGAUGCGCUCCAAGCAUUUUGCAAUCCAGGAGAGAAAUAGGGACUUUGGGCAUGUCCAGUCGCCCUGUCCUAUAGAGUCCCAGAUUUUUAACAAAUCGAAUAGACCAAUAAUAGGAAAGGAUCAGGGCUCAGAACUGGAUUUAAACCUUAAGCACUCAGGAUCUGCAGAAGUAUUUUAAAAACUAACAGCCAACCUCUAACUCCUGCAGCUAAGCUGCCUUUGUGCCUAUGUGCAAGUCUUGGCACAGCAAAGGUCACAAAGUAAAAAGAACUGCGAUGCUAAGGGGAAUGAACAGCAAACACAAAUGAGAAAAGUUCCUUUUCUCCGGCACAGCUUUCGUUGUUUGUUACCACCUGGAAACAGUGUUGGAAUAUUCUGCAAAAAUAACCAUGGGGAAAAGGAGACACUAGGGAUGUUAUUCGCCUGUCUAGGACUGCUAGACACAUGUGGCUUCUCAAGUUAAUUAAAACUAAACCCUGUCCGUAUUUUAACUGCUCAAUAGACUCAUGUGGGCAGUGGAAACUUUGGAGUAGGGAGAUAUGGAAUAUGUCCACCUCGACAUGGAGUCAUACUUUUAAAAUCCUUUAUGUGUUCAGUGGUGGUGGUGCAUGCAUUUAAUACCAGCAGAGACAGGUGGAUCUCUUAGCUCAAGACCAACCGGGAGGGAGUUCAGGACAGCCAGAGCUACACAGAGAAACACUACCCCCAUAGCAAACAAGCAAAACAAUAUGCGUUAUGUUUGAUACCAGCCUGAUUUCAGGACAGUCUCCAUUUCUAUUACAUGGCAGCAGCACAAAACGUCUUAAAGUCUGAAUUUCAGUGGCUUUUAUGCUGACAAAGGUUCUGGCAAACUCCUAGUAUGUGCAUCUUUUUGUUGUUUUUAAAUAAGAACAGCAAGUCAAGGACAACAACUCAAGAACAGAGAUGCUAACUAAGCGACCCACAGCUGUAAAUUUGGAAAAAACGCUUAAGUCCUCUGAUAGGGCCCGGGAUCCUGUCUGCUGGUUGGGACACCAUGGCUGGCUUGGCUGUGAAAACUGACUAGAGUGGAAGGUGUCGACAGAUUUUAGGCAGAAUCGUCCUUUUACAAGAGAGGGAUGCUUCUAAGCAUUCUCCCCAGAGAAAAUUCCAUUUAAUAAAGAGUAAGCUCCAUGAGGAAUCACAAGGUCUCAAAAACUUAAACUGUAUGACCAAACAGCCAAAAUGUGUUUUCAAAGAGAACAAAUGGGCUGUAGUUUUACUUGAACUUAAAACUCAUGCAGAACUAACAUUAUACUUUUAGAACAAGAGGUAAGAAGCAAUAUUAAAGUCAAAGAUGAAGAUGUGAUCUGAGGUGAGACUUGCUAACAAAGUAUAAUAAUCUUUCUCAAAUUUGAUAAGAUAUCAAAUUCACUGAUUUCACAGGAGGAGGAUUUGAUCAGAAAUGCUAAGAACAUAAACAAAAUAAAAUUGUAAGUAUUACUACAUAAGAUGUGUAACUAAGCAGCGUUUUCUGUGAAAUUUUAGAUGCAGCAUAAACUGUGUUCUUCAGUAAGUAGUGAAGUGAUUUAUUUUGCAGUAAUUGUUCUCUACAUUUUUUGUUGUUAGUUGAGAUUAAUGUUGAUGGUAAUUCUGCCUAUUUGUGGUAGUUGACCCUUAAUGAAAAUGGUAUCUGUUUACAUCAGCAUAUUCACAAAUGGGAAAUAAUUUAAAAAUAAUAAUUCUUUUGAAUGUUGGAUUGAUCCAUACUUGAGUCAUCAUGUUUCUCUUGUCUAUUUAUCAUUUGCUCAUGCUUGAAGGAUUCUUCUCACACUACCUUAGUCCAUGACCCUAUAAGAAACAUCUCAGAUCUUUGCGGAUAAGCGAGAAGGCCUCAGCCUCCCUGUAGCUAACAGAUGCAAAGGCUGAUGGGACCCGAAGAGAGUACUGCCAAAGCCACCUGACAGUCCCACAGGGGAAUCAAUCACUCACAUGCUGAGCUUCUCCAUGAUUCGGCUUCCUCACCUAUAAAAUGUUGAAUAUUAUGUGAUAUCCUCCUUGAUUGCUGUUAGGAAUGAAGGAGCUAGUCAACAUGCAAUAGGGAUGAGAAAGCAAACCGUGUAACUCGUGUGAACAAUUUCUACUUCCACAGGAGGAAGUUCCCUGUCCACUCCCACUGUGGCUGUCACAGAGAAAGAGAUCUACGCCGCUCUGAGAUUUCCUGUAUUUGAAGUGCUUACAGCAACUUGGAGAAAACAGGACAUGGCAUUGCAGCUAGGAUUUCAACAAUGGCCCAGAGACCUUUGGGGACACCUCCCAUGAAGCAAAGAGAAUUCUCUCUUGGUCAGCUGUAACUUCUUUCCUUGUGAUUUGUAUGUUACUAACCCUGAAGCUCUAAUCCAUUUACUUGUGUCACAGAGAUUAAGUGACUGCUUUUCAGUCACAAAAGUACACAGCAGUGAGACAGAGAGGAGGACUCUGAUCUUCCACUUCUGCCCCGGUGUCCUUUGAACCAUGUUCCUCAGCUCUGGACAGAAAUACUUGUGAUCCUUUAGAAGCAGACAAGGGACAAUUUGCAUUCACAAAAAACUCCUUUGAGAUGCAAGACUAAGUUGACUCGGAUCCCUUGCAAUUUUGCAUAUUUUCUUUUGACACCUCUGGUUUCUACAAUAGUUGUAAAUGGAUGCUAUUUCCUGAAUAAUUUGCUUGCAAUUCAUUUACAUGCUGUUAUUGCAUAUGUCAAAUGAUCUGUUGAUUACUGUCUGAUGUUUCUUUGGACUACAAUGUAAUAAAAUAGACAAUACACACACACACAUAAUUCAUUUGCUAAAUGGCAGUACUAGUCAUAUAACUAUUGAUUACUUAAAACCAAUCUUUGGGAGAGAAACAGUAGCCACCAUUUUUAUUCAUGUCUUAUACCCAUAUUUUAAGUUUUCCCCACUUUUGUUUUAGUAAUUUGUGUGUCUAUGUAUUAAAAACUCCACUUCUUAUCUUCAAAUACCGGUUUAAAGUUCAAGUGUAAGAUACAUUCCUUGAAAAUUAGAAAGUGUAGCUUAACCUAAACAUUUUCCUUUCUAGAGGGCAGAAAAUGAAUAUUUAUGUAUUUUAAUCUUGAUUGAAUCAGUUUAUUAUAAGGGAUCAUCAACAAACAUAUCAAUAAUAGUUGAUAUAGUUAAUAGUAUCUGACUUGAUGUGCAGUACUUACAUUAGUACAGUAUUAUUGAAUAGUAUGACCUCUGAGACUGCAAGGAUGAAGCCAUUGGGCAACAUUGUAGAUUUUUACCUAGCACAUACACACACAGACACACACUCACACACAGACACACUCACAGACAAACACACAUAGACACACACACACAGACACACACACACAGACACAUGCACAAACACACAGACACAGACACACACACACCCAAGUUAGCUAAUUGUUGAAUCAACUUUUAAGUAUACUGCAUUGUGUACUAUACAUAUGUUUAUAUUUUGGUAUGUUUGGUAUUUUUAAUUCAUCUCCAAUUUUUCAGAAAGACCAAACUAAAACUUUUUAUUUCUAUAUUAAUUUUCUAAAACAUAUGAUUAUUUAAAACUUCUGUUAUUUCAAAUAAACUUGUAUUUCCAAUUUCUAAAUAUAUUAGAAUGAUGAAGAUAUCACCAGAAGAGCUCAAAAUGGACAUGUUUUAAGGUGUUCAUGUUCUUAUUGUUUUUGCACUAUAUUUUAACAUGCUCUGGUAAACUACACAUAUAUGUAUAUAUGUAUAUUCAUACACACACACAUAUAUAUUAUAUAUAUUUCUGUAUCAGUAUUUUUUACUGACUGAAAGCAACUUUACUCACGUAACUUUUCCCAUGUGAUUCUUUUAGUUUGAUAGUUUGAUUGUCCACAUUUUUUGAAGUCACAGAAACCUGAACAUGGAAUUGAAAAACAAGCCCACAUUUGUGUUCAUCUCCUCAGGCAGAGACUGAGUUAGUUUCAGAUUUAUUCUUUUAUGGAAUGUCUUUAAAAUGAGAAAUUGGAGUUUCAAAGCAUUUCUCACCUGACUUAUUUUUUCUUUUUUGGUUUGUUUUUUUUGAGACAGGGUUUCUCUGUACUGUUUUGGAGGCUGUCCUGGAACUCGUUCUGUAGACCAGGCUGUCCUCGAACUCACAGAGAUCUGCCUGCCACUGCCUCCUGAGUGCUGGGAUUAAAGGUGUGCUCUACCAAUGUCCGGCCUCACUUGACUUUUAAGUAUUUCACGAGCUCAAAAUUAAUAUGAUCAAGGAUCGAUAGCUAUCUUUGAUAGUCAGACAAUGUUACCUGAGUGCUUAGUGUUUUGAUCGGCGUGUACAAACCUUGAACGUUCCUUCAGGGAAAUUAACUCCUUCUAGACGUGAAGCAUGUAUAGACAGAAGAGAAAUUAGACAAAUAAGAAGGAAUUGAGAAUAAGUCCAUGAGGGAGGGAUGGUACCCUUUUAUUUGUCUUGUCUGUAGUUCAGGUAUUCUGAUUUGUAAUCUUACUGGCACCAGGUAUUAUAAACAGGGAUGAGUAAUAUGCCAUUUUUAUCUUUACUGAGUUACUUCUGGCUUGUGGACAGAUGAUAGCUGUCAGUCAGGUGUCUGGUCAAGGAGGAGAUACAUAUAAAGCUGCCAAAGUAUUUUUUGUUUCUUUAAAUACUUACAAGUAAACUCUUUUACAUGGAAAUGCUGCAUGUACUUAAAUUAAAUAGAUGGUUAGUUACCAUGCAGAUUAUUAAUUAUUGUUAUUGUUAAUUACUGGAAGAGCUAGCAGCCUUCUUAUGAAUGUAGAAAAUGAGAAGAAAAGCCUUUUGAGUGGCUUUCUGAAGCAGGAAAAUGAUUAAUUUUCCAACAUUGAAAUAAUUAUCUUUACAUUAUGAAGAUACAUUUCAGGUAAUCCUUUAUAAAAUGCAUGGGGCAAGUGUGAGUCACUGUCACUUUAAUCUGAACUCUGUCACUAAGACUUGUUAAAGGAACCAAUUCAUUUACAUGAAAGUGUUGGCAUGGGCAUUUUGUGACGUAGUGUUGAAGAUUUCUUAGGGAGGACAAACAUAUCACUGCAUGGUAGCAGGGAUUUAUGACUUCUGAUAACUCAAAGAAAACAUGGAAUUUUCUAAGCCCGAAAUCCUGGCAAAAUGAAAAUGAUAAGUUUUAGAUAUUUUGCAUAGUUAGACUCUACCUAAUAUUUUUAAUAGGCUCUGCUACCCCUAGAAAGUUGACAGUCAUAAAAAACGUUUGGCAGAAGUUUUUAUGUUUCUUUAUUGCUGCUUCAGUGUCUGCUAGUGACAGGUGUGAUAAAUGUAUCCAGUACUAAUGCACUCGAGAACUUAAUAAGUGUAAUUCUGAAGCAGGCCUAACAGUUUUCACCUUCAAAAGCAAGGGCUCUGGUACUUUAAGAACACAGCAUUUAACAAACUAGGAAAAUUAUCUUUUUAUACAUGUCUGAUUCUUUGAGAGGCUGAUGAGGAUUUUUAAAAGUUCAACAGAUCUGGUGAUUCCUGUGUCAGAGUCAGCAAUGAAGAGUGACAAAGCAUUUGUGAGAAAAAAAGCAGUACAAACCACUAUAUACCUUAAAAAGGGGGGUACGAAUCAAAUAAAAAUACAUUUUUGAUAAUCUGAAAAACAAUCUGUCCAUAAUACUUUAAAAUACAAGGUAAAACUGACCUUUAAUUUUAAAAAAUGUGUAUUCAAGAAAUGUCCAUAGAUGACACUAUUAUUUUAACUAUUAUGUUUUUGGCUGGAUUGACCACUUUUGACAAUUUAAAAGUAUUUUUCAUAUUAUUAAAGGUAAAUUAAGCCUGUCAAAAAUAUUCAUAAGUUUAUACAUUUCUAAACCACACUGGAUUUUAAAAUGUGUUUGAUAAGAUAGUCAUUAACAAAAGCCAGAUUUUAUAUUUUUCCCACUUUACAAAUACGAAUUAAACAUGUAGAUUGGAAAUUAUUUAUGGCACCAUCAGAAUAAAGCAUUUGCUUCAUAGUCUUAGUAAUUCAUAUUUGUAGAAGCUUUUCUCUUCUUAAGUACCAAUGCUACCCCCCACAGCCCAGAAAAUUGAUUUUAAUGCAUAAUAAUUUAUAGCAUUCUUGAUCAAUGUAUGCUGUUGUGUCUUUUACAUUCAUUAACCCAUGUUGUUUGUGAAUAUGGAAUUUGCUUAUGAAAAUGGUUUCAUAUGUUUGCUAUGUAUAGUCCUUAGCUCUGAGCUGCUUCCUUGCUUAAAUAAAUGUUUUCAAUUUGCUAUAAUACAACAAUUUGUAGAGAAAUGCUGUGAAGCAUAGUUAAAAGAAUGAGUCCUUGAAAUAGAAUCACUUUUUAAAAAUA